UUGGAUGAAAGAUCGGACGGCUAAACGAGGUUCCAGUGAAAAGCUUGGCAAAGAACACGGUCUGAUGAUUGGGACAGCUCAGAUUGUAGUGGACAGGUGUUGUACAGUAUCAUAAAUCUCAAAGGGAAAAAUUUUUUUGGAAGGGGGAGACAGAGAAAGGCAAUGAGCAAGGGAAAGAGAAAGAGAAAGAGAAUCCUGCACCGCUGACUUAGGGC
rnacentral:lncRNA from 1 species